rnacentral:rRNA from 1 species
UUAAUGGAGAGUUUGAUCCUGGCUCAGGACGAACGCUGGCGGCAUGCCUAAUACAUGCAAGUCGAGCGGACUUGAAGAGAAGCUU